GAAUCUUGCUCAAUGGGCGAAAGCCUGAAGCAGCGACGCCGCGUGCGGGAAGAAGGCCUUCGGGUUGUAAACCGCUUUCAGGGGGGACGAAGCCACCCGGGUUAAUACCCCAGAGGGUGCCGGUACUCCCAGAACAAGCCCCGGCUAACUACGUGCCAGCCGCCGCGGUAAUACGUAGGGGGCUAGCGUUGUCCGGACUUAUUGGGCGUAAAGCGCGUGUAGGCGGCCAGAUAGGUCCGUUGUGAAAACUCGAGGCUUAACCUCGAGACGCCGACGGAAACCAUUCGGCUAGAGUCCGGAAGAGGAGAGUGGAAUUCCUGGUGUAGCGGUGAAAUGCGCAGAUAUCAGGAAGAACACCUAUGGCGAAGGCAGCUCUCUGGGACGGUACUGACGCUGAGACGCGAAAGCGUGGGGAGCGAACAGG
rnacentral:rRNA from 1 species